GGGAUUAAAGCAUGGACAUCUUCAGGGGCCUACCGCAGAAGAACUUGAAGCUGGGUCACAGCCAAGUGCAGAGAGGAAGGCAGUUCAAACCAAGACAGAUGCCACUUUGACAACACAAAGGAGCCAGAAUAUCCCCAUUUCCAAUGCCAUGCCAUUUAACAGAAAUAUGUACAAGAUAGAAAAGGAAAGGAAGAUUUGUGGAGUGGUCCUUGAUUUCACCAGUUAAAAGAUUUCUCUCUACAGGCAAAGACAGAAGCCAUGAUUAAGACACCAGCCAUUUCCUGGAAAUAAAAGCCCACCAGGAGGUGCUUGAGAGUCCAAAGGAUCAUCAACACCAGCUGGCAACUAAUCUCCGGGGAACACUCUUCUUCAAGUGUCUCUGUUACAGGCUAAAUAUACCCUACAUAUAAUUUAAAUAUAGACGUGCUAUCU